rnacentral:misc_RNA from 1 species
GUAGGUGAACCUGCAGAUGGAUCAUUUCGAUGAAAACCUUUUUUCAGAGGUGUGGCUCGCACCUGUCCAACUAAACUUGAGCUACCUUUUUUCAACACGGUUGCAUCGGUCGGCCUGUCAAACAGUGCGACGCAAGGAGAAAAUCCUCGCGUCUGCUGGGCGACGGACGGACAAUUUUAUUUAACACUUUUGGAUGAUCUAGGAUUUGAAGGAGAAAAAGUCAUUUUUACGAAUGAAAUCGACUGGUAAUGCGGUCGUCUAAUUUAAAAAACAACUUUUGGCAACGGAUCUCUUGGUUCUC